rnacentral:sRNA from 1 species
AAAAAGAAAUCAGUCAGACUCGUCUGAAUUUCUGAAUUAUUCAGAGUUUCAUCCAUUCCACUAUUCGCUAGUGCUAAUCUACGCUGUGAUAGGGAGGAGGAGGAGGAAGGGAUCGAGCAGGUUGGUUAGGUUUUACCAGGAGGGGACGAGGUUGGCGGCGAUGAAGAGGAGGUAGCCGGAGGUGCCGAGCACGAGCGCGCGCCUGGACCCCAUCCGCCGCACCACCGGCGAGCCCACCACCGAGAACGCCGUGAACGACGUGUACAGGAGCCCCAGCGACACCGACCCCAGGUUCUGGGCGGCGUGGUAGGCGAGGAAGACGAAGAGGAAGGCCGAGCUCAGCAGGUGCAGGUCGCGGGUCUGGGACGUCGCCGCCCUCGCCGCCGCCGCGGCGCCGCGUCUGCCGGAUACCAGCGGGGCGGCCUCCUCCUCCUCCUCGUCGAGGGCCACCGCGAGCUCGGCUCCGGCGGGAGCGUGGCCGUCUUCCAUGGCGGAUUUGGGGGGAGGAGUUGGUGGUGGCGUGGCUUCGGUGCCAAACUGCGCGAGCACUCUGCUCUGCUUGUGAUUUGGGGGAAGGGGGGAGGGGCUUGUUUUUCUAAAUUUAAGGUCUACGAGGGGUGUUUGUGAUAAAUUAAGUGGUUUCAGGAGAAUAGCAGAUAGUUUAGGGGGUCUUUGUGAGAAUUUUAGCUGUUUCGUGUCCGAAGAAGUCCGAACCGCCCGAUGACAGGCGUUUGUUUGUUUUAAGAAGAGAUAGUAGCUUUUACAGGGUGUGGUUAGUUUCUGAAAAAAGUUGAAAGUUUGAAG